UAAGGAAUAUUGGUCAAUGGACGCAAGUCUGAACCAGCCAUGCCGCGUGGAGGAUGAAGGUCCUCUGGAUUGUAAACUUCUUUUAUCUGGGACGAAACACUUCUUUUCUAAGAGGCCUGACGGUACCAGAUGAAUAAGCACCGGCUAACUCCGUGCCAGCAGCCGCGGUAAUACGGAGGGUGCAAGCGUUAUCCGGAUUCACUGGGUUUAAAGGGUGCGUAGGUGGGUAUGUAAGUCAGUGGUGAAAUCCCCGAGCUUAACUUGGGAACUGCCAUUGAUACUAUAUAUCUUGAAUACCGUAGAGGUAAGCGGAAUAUGUCAUGUAGCGGUGAAAUGCUUAGAUAUGACAUAGAACACCAAUUGCGAAGGCAGCUUACUACAUAUAAAUUGACGCUGAGGCACGAAAGCGUGGGGAUCAAACA
rnacentral:rRNA from 1 species